UGAAAAGUUGCGAGAUCCUCGAUCCAAAAC
rnacentral:piRNA from 1 species